rnacentral:miRNA from 12 species
UGGCCCACACUUACAUCACUUGC